rnacentral:rRNA from 1 species
UACGGAGGGUGCGAGCGUUAAUCGGAAUUACUGGGCGUAAAGAGCUCGUAGGUGGUUUGUCGCGUCGUCUGUGAAAUUCCGGGGCUUAACUCCGGGCGUGCAGGCGAUACGGGCAUAACUUGAGUACUGUAGGGGAGACUAGAAUUCCUGGUGUAGCGGUGAAAUGGGCAGAUAUCAGGAGGAACACCGGUGGCGAAGGCGGGUCUCUGGACAAUAACUGACGCUGAGGUGCGAAAGCAUGGGGAGCAAACAGG